rnacentral:rRNA from 1 species
UACGUAGGGGGCUAGCGUUGUCCGGAUUUAUUGGGCGUAAAGAGCGUGUAGGCGGCCAGGUAGGUCUGCUGUGAAAACUCGAGGCUCAACCUCGAGACGUCGGCGGAAACCAUCUGGCUAGAGUCCGGAAGAGGCGAGUGGAACUCCUGGUGUAGCGGUGGAAUGCGCAGAUAUCAGGAAGAACACCGACGGCGAAGGCAGCUCGCUGGGACGGUACUGACGCUGAGGCGCGAAAGCGUGGGGAGCGAACAGG